rnacentral:lncRNA from 1 species
AAACAGAGGGCUUGGCUUGCUCCCAGGCUGUCUUUCUUAGUUGCUCUAAUCCUGGAAUUCUCUCUGCCCAGCUCUGAAGUGGGCAAGCUUAACCUCUAUAAACCUCAGUUUCCUUUUCUGCAAGUCCAGGGAAGACCUAGAUGGUCUUUUCCAGCUAUAAAAUUUCCAGUGUGAUCCAAAGUCACACUGAGGGUUCAGUGACAGAGCUGGGACUUGAGCCUAAGUUUCUGACUUUUAAAGCAAUCAGUCCUUACAGACUCACUGAUCAUGGUCUCUCCACGGGCGCUUGCCUG